GGCAGGGUCCUGGGGGCCGCGCCCAGCGUGCCCUCCCCCCUCAACAGCAAGCUGACGCCACCUGUCCAGUGGCCCCUGCACACCCCACGACGAGUGUGGCGUCGUCCGGGCUGCUGAAAGUAUGGCCCCCCACGCUGAGCCCAGGGGUGCGGAGCCACGUCUUGCCGUAGCCAGGGACAGAACCGCGAGUCAGCGCGGAUGGGAAAGCUGAGGGCAGAGACAUGACGUCACCUGUCACCAGUCUGGGGCACCUGUCCAGUCACUUUUCAAACAGCACUUUCGCAUUUUCAAUUUUUGAUGAUGACGACAGCUAACAUCUGUGUGUCCAGUAUGGAUCAGCUGGUGUUAAUCUCUACGUUUCUGUCAUGAGCACUCACUGCCCUGCCCCUGGGUUGUGUAGUCUGGCAGCCUCAGGUGGCGACUUCAUGGCUGCGCAACGUGUCCUCCAGGUGAUCACCCCAAAAGUCCACCAUGACCGGCCUGUGCCCCCUCCCCCACUUCAGCCCCUCUGCUUCCCCUGCUCUCUGUGUCUAAGCCCCCACUGAGGGUUGUACACCCAUCCCGUGCUUUGUUCAUCGGCCCCACAGUGGGUAACCACACAAAGACCCAGCAGCCUCCCCAAGGGUGGACGACACGUGAUGGCCGCCUCCCAGCCACCACCGAUGGCACCACAAGGCUUGAACUUACAUGUGUCCCCGGCGGGCUGUGGGGAUUCUCAGGGAUGUAUAGCCAGGCAUGAACGCACUGAGUCACGGGGGGUGUGUGCACUUAAUUCAAUGGAGCAGCUCUGGAUCAUUCCUUGGGGUUUGGAGACACUGGAACAUUCUACUGUCAGCACUUCCCCGCAACACCUGACACCGUCAUCCUAAUUCUCUGCAGCCUGAUUGGUGCCAAGUGUGAUAUCUAAUCGUGGUUUUGUGGUUAUGUACGUCUUUGAUGACUUUGAGCACCCCUCGGAGGCACGCUAGCUGUGGGGCUCUGCACAGCCCACUCAUAUCCUUCGCUGCUCCCCACGAGAAUGGCAUUUUCAGGUUGAAGUCACGUUGCAUUAUGGCAUUAGACGUUUGUCUUCUACCUCAUUCGGAGGUGCUUCCUGCUUGUCCAGCCCGCAUGUCACGAAUGACUUCUCCAAGCCCAUCCCCCUGCUGACGGCUCACCGUGCUCCCCUGCUGACGGCUCGCUGUGCUCCCCUGUGAGCCCAGACUCUUCGCUUUGACAUAAUCAAACUAAGUGGUGUCUUGUCUGGUGUUGUAUGUUUUAGAAGUCUUACAAAGUCGUUCCCUGUCACAGAGAUUCCAAGAUCAUCUCCUUAAUUUUCUUCUAGUAGUUUCAUAAGUGCAUCUUCCAUGUAGCUGUGGUCUUUGGGAUGCCUGGAGUCCUCCAUGUGUGAUGCUGGAUGAGAGUCAAGGCCUAUUUCCUGGCACACUGAGCCGGUUAUCCUGGAGCCGCAGACUGAGUUCCCAUCUGCCCCCACCAAACUGAGGUGCUGUGAUAUCAUAUCUGACAAGUCCCCACGCACUGUAGAAUGUCCUGCUCAAAGCCCACCGAGCUCUUUCUGUGCUCUCGCUUCUGGCUCCCUGACCCAUUCAUCUGUUCUUGCUCCACUACUCCACUAUUUUUAACACGUUGAUUUGUUUUGCAGUCUGUCUAAUAUCUAGUAGGGCAAGAAGCUUAUUCUUGCACCACACAACGCUGCUCUUACUGUUUAGAUCACCGUACAGGAAACAGACUGAUCCUCUUUCCACCCGAAGUCAGAACUGGUUACACAGUUGGCCCCUCCUGAGUCUUCACUCACAUUUCCUGUCACCCCCGGCGGCCUCCAUGCUGGAAAAGGCUCAGCCACAUGCGGGAAGAGAAAGUGGAGACUGCCGGAAAACCCACACCAUGCCUUAGCUCAGCCCUCUGUUCCUAGAAACUCUGCCCGCCAUGAGUCCUUUGGACUGGCGGGUGCGAAACCAGCCUGGACACAGCGGUCUGGAGCUCUGAAUUCCAAGCCCGGGGUCGGGGUCGGAGUUGAGUCUGGUGCAGGGGCUCCAGGUUUCAAGUUUCCUAUUGUGAGGACUGAACCUUUCCCCCUGCUUGCUACUGUGGCUUGUUUGCAUUGGUGGUCUCUCCUUGCUAGAGAUAACGAGAGACCUCCUCCUCUGAACCCUAUAUAACAUUGUACACAUUCCUGAAUAAAUGAGACUGGCGAUGAUCCUGGCUUUGUCUCCACUCCUCGCGUACCCCUGUCCCAUACCAAGCCCCUGCUUCCUCCCCCGGGUACCCCGUUGAU